rnacentral:RNase_P_RNA from 2 species
GAAGCUGACCAGACAGUCGCCGCUUCGUCGUCGUCCUUUCGGGGAGACGGGCGGAGGGGAGGAAAGUCCGGGCUCCAUAGGGCAGGGUGCCAGGUAACGCCUGGGGGGGAAAACCCACGACCAGUGCAACAGAGAGCAAACCGCCGAUGGCCCACGUAAGUGGGAUCAGGUAAGGGUGAAAGGGUGCGGUAAGAGCGCACCGCGCGGCUGGUAACAGUCCGUGGCACGGUAAACUCCACCCGGAGCAAGGCCAAAUAGGGGUUCAUAAGGUACGGCCCGUACUGAACCCGGGUAGGCUGCUUGAGCCAGUGAGCGAUUGCUGGCCUAGAUGAAUGACUGUCCACGACAGAACCCGGCUUAUCGGUCAGUUUCACCU